rnacentral:lncRNA from 1 species
CGGAAGUUAGAUUUGGUGUUUGAGUAAAGCCUCUUCCACUCAUCGAGAACCAUUGGGCUUGGUGGUAGCAAGUCAAGAGGGUUCUUUGCUUUGGGCUUUGGUGCCUCUUCCUCUUCAGCAGGCUUAGGCGCCUCUGCUGCAGGGGCUUCCUUCUUCUUGGGCUGUUCCUUGGGCUUUGCAGGCUGGGCAGCUUUCUUGGAAGCAACAGGAGGGACUGCUUCAGUCUG